rnacentral:rRNA from 1 species
UACGUAGGGGGCAAGCGUUGUCCGGAUUUAUUGGGCGUAAAGCGCUCGCAGGUGGUUCGAUGCGUCGUGCGUGAAAGACCCCGGCUCAACUGGGGAGGGUCGUGCGAUACGGUCGAACUGGAGGCCAGUAGGGGGAUGCGGAAUUCCGGGUGUAGUGGUGGAAUGCGUAGAGAUGGGGGAGAACACUCGUGGCGAAGGCGGCCAGCUAGACCAGUUCUGACACUGAGGCGCGACAGCGUGGGGAGCAAACAGG